UUUAACGUUCGAUCUCAAAUCAGGUAGGACUACCCGCUGAACUUAAGCAUAUCAAUAAGCGGAGGA
rnacentral:rRNA from 1 species